rnacentral:rRNA from 1 species
CCUACGGGGUGCUGCAGUGGGGAAUAUUGGACAAUGGGCGAAAGCCUGAUCCAGCCAUGCCGCGUGUGUGAAGAAGGCCUUCGGGUUGUAAAGCACUUUCAGUGGGGAAGAAAGCCUUGGGGCUAAUACCCUCGAGGAAGGACAUCACCCACAGAAGAAGCACCGGCUAACUCCGUGCCAGCAGCCGCGGUAAUACGGAGGGUGCGAGCGUUAAUCGGAAUUACUGGGCGUAAAGCGCGCGUAGGCGGUCUGAUAAGCCGGUUGUGAAAGCCCCGGGCUCAACCUGGGAACGGCAUCCGGAACUGUCAGGCUAGAGUGCAGGAGAGGAAAGUAGAAUUCCCGGUGUAGCGGUGAAAUGCGUAGAGAUCGGGAGGAAUACCAGUGGCGAAGGCGGCCUUCUGGACUGACACUGACGCUGAGGUGCGAAAGCGUGGGUAGCAAACAGGAUUAGAUACCCGGGUAGUC